AGAGUUUGAUCAUGGCUCAGGACGAACGCUGGCGGCGUGCUUAACACAUGCAAGUCGAACGGUGACGAGGAGCUUGCUCCUCUGAUCAGUGGCGAACGGGUGAGUAACACGUGAGUAACCUGCCCCAGACUCUGGGAUAACAGUUGGAAACAGCUGCUAAUACCGGAUACGAGACGGAGAGGCAUCUCUACCGUCUGGAAAGUUUUUCGGUCUGGGAUGGACUCGCGGCCUAUCAGCUUGUUGGUGAGGUAAUGGCUCACCAAGGCGACGACGGGUAGCCGGCCUGAGAGGGCGACCGGCCACACUGGGACUGAGACACGGCCCAGACUCCUACGGGAGGCAGCAGUGGGGAAUAUUGCACAAUGGGCGCAAGCCUGAUGCAGCGACGCCGCGUGAGGGAUGACGGCCUUCGGGUUGUAAACCUCUUUCAGCAGGGAAGAAGCGAAAGUGACGGUACCUGCAGAAGAAGCACCGGCUAACUACGUGCCAGCAGCCGCGGUAAUACGUAGGGUGCGAGCGUUGUCCGGAAUUAUUGGGCGUAAAGAGCUUGUAGGCGGUUUGUCGCGUCUGCAGUGAAAAUCCGGGGCUCAACCCCGGACUUGCUGUGGGUACGGGCAGACUAGAGUGUGGUAGGGGAGACCGGAAUUCCUGGUGUAGCGGUGGAAUGCGCAGAUAUCAGGAGGAACACCGAUGGCGAAGGCAGGUCUCUGGGCCACAACUGACGCUGAGAAGCGAAAGCAUGGGGAGCGAACAGGAUUAGAUACCCCGGUAGU
rnacentral:rRNA from 1 species